rnacentral:lncRNA from 1 species
AAAAAGGUUGGAGAAGAAAGGAUCAACGCAACCUCUUACUCGUUACUGCUGCAGAAGUUCAAUUAGAAAGGAGAACAAGCAGAUUAAGGGAGCAACAGCUCCAUGACCAAUGAAUCGUGCAAGUGGGACAGAAUGGUGAGAAUCAGAUCCACUAGUGGCCUCCACAUGUUACCUCCUUCUUCGUCACCUCAACAUCUAUUUUCAUGCUAUGUAAGGGAUCAACCGAUUAACAUCAUUGACCCACUACUCCUUGACUACAAUUGUGAGGGGUGGGACAAGGAGUCCGCGGCUAGGUACAACAGGCUUCUCGCAGCAGAGAUCUUGCCGACACGAUUUGCUCACGCUGAGACCUUAGCUGAUCUCGGUCUCGAGUCUGACGUCUUCGAGACGCUCGACGUCAUGGGCCUUGCUCCUCUCUGCUACCAAGCCCAAGUUCUCUAUCCAGAUUUGGUUAGGCAAGUGCUCGCAACAGCUCAGAUCACUUACCAGAACCCCACCGCACCAACGUACGAGAACUGCUCCUUCUCCUUGAUGGCCGAAGGCAAGUUCUGCUCCAUCUCUCUCUCCAUGAUCUAAACGACCUACUCGAGAUCGCAGACACGCCUAGAGAGGUCUCAAUUGAGAAGAAGUUCACGCCAGCAAACGCCUUUUGGGAUCUCAUUGCGACAGGGAAGUUCACCUCUCGCAAGGCUUAUCAAUCACAAAUCCGAAACCCCACUCUGCGUAUCAUUGCCAAGAUCGUCUCAAACAUCCUCUUCGCAAAGGAACUCACCUCCAAGGUCACAAACGGAGAGCUUCAGGUUCUAUACACGGGGCUCAAGGAUGAGAUCCGUAGAGAUAGAGUCAUACCGAUCCAGGCAGUGAAGACUAACCCUGGAUUCCUUCUCAUCUCGAUGCUCUCCGAGCGCAAGGACUCCUUGCUCCGAACUGAAGACAAGAAAGACCGCUGCGGCAGUGUUCUCACUCCCUUGUUCAAACGUUUCAACAUCAACCUGGAUUAUAAGGUUGUUCCUGAGCUUGAGUACAUCGACACCGCUUACUUGAUCACAUGCCACAUCCUGCGCGACGAGAGCACAUACAAGUUCGCUGACAAGGAAGGGAACACUCUCUACUGCAAGCUUCCUCUUCCCGGGUUAACGAACUUCAAGACCUUGGAAAACAUAGUGUUCCUGCCCGACGCAGAACACUUGUGCGACGACCCACGCGCGCCAGUUCCAAAUGAGAAUGCUGACAUGGAUGAUGUGGAGGAUGUGACUCCAUCUGCUGAUAGUGCUUAUGAUCUGGAGGACCUCACUGAUGUUACUGAUGAUCACGCCUACAGACGCUGGAUGGUGGACUCUCAGAAGAAGAACAACAGCCUCAUGAAGAGGAUCCUCAGGGCGAUCACUGGAGGCUGCAUCGGAAGUCAAGAUGAGCAGACGACGCAGGGAACAAGGCGCCCAGGCAAGGAACCAGCGGGCACCUCAACUGGAGAAGAGAGACUUACGAGGAACAGGAGAACAGCCGGUUACUCCAGUAGCGGUGAUUCAGACUGAGUCCGAAAGGACUAUUCCUAUCCCCUUGUUUUAUCCAUCUGAACUAUUUAUUUCCCUACUAUUUGCUUCUGUUUGGUGUGUUUUAGCCUCCUCCGAUCUAUUUUCACAACCAGGGAUGGUGUGAAGUAAGUCUAGAGGAGAGUCUCUGUACGAUUUCCAUGCUUUUAUCGACUCAGUUCCUAGGAUCGAGUCAGUCAAGUCAAAACUUAUUGUGGUAAUCAGGACCUUAUUUUGUGAUGAUUUCUUAACCACCUCGUGCUUUAACCUUCUUAUUCAGUGACCUUAGCAGUGAUGAAAGACCCACACAUGGACCUGGAACACCCUGACUUAUCUCAUUUGACACUCCAGAAGUUCUCCACCGAUCAGGUUACACUGGGUAGACUCAACUCCACUUUAUCUGAACCUAAUCUGGACUUUAAUUCUUCUUGUUAUGGGCACUAGAUCAGGGAAACGAGACAUAUACUCAGGACUUCUUAUCCUUUAUAUCCAUCUUGCUGUUCCUGAGUAGCUAGCUCAUCUUUAGCUUGUUCCCACCUUGUACCUUAGCCUUUAUUUCACCUUCAGGCAUUUGUUUUUCAGUGAUAUAUGUGCAGAUAUGUGCAAAAAGGUUGGAGAAGAAAGGAUCAACGCAACCUCUUACUCGUUACUGCUGCAGAAGUUCAAUUAGAAAGGAGAACAAGCAGAUUAAGGGAGCAACAGCUCCAUGACCAAUGAAUCGUGCAAGUGGGACAGAAUGGUGAGAAUCAGAUCCACUAGUGGCCUCCACAUGUUACCUCCUUCUUCGUCACCUCAACAUCUAUUUUCAUGCUAUGUAAAAAAAAAAAAAAAAAAAACUCUAUCUUUCAUUUUUAGCAUUUGACGAUGGAGAAGGAGAUGAAUUCAAGGGAACACGAGCCACUGGGAAAGUUAAGCAAAGAGUUUGGUACUAAUUUUGAGAGCACAUAGAAGGGGACGAGCAGAGCAGUUUGAUGACUGUUCCCGAACGAAGAACAGCCGUUCUAGAGAGAGCAAAAACGAGUAGAGGCUGUGGACAUCAAUGGAUUCGUCCUCUCUUGCAGUUUUGUUUGAUAUCCUGCAUCCUCUACAAAAAUUGGUAGCCCCUAAACACUCUUAACUCCACCAUUAAAUAGACUGUUCCAUACCUAGACCGUCUACCCUGAGUAGCGCCUGUGACAAGAAGCUCACGAUAAUCUUAAUU